rnacentral:rRNA from 1 species
GAUCAUGGCUCAGGAUGAACGCUAGCUACAGGCUUAACACAUGCAAGUCGAGGGGCAGCAUUUUAGUUUGCUUGCAAACUGAAGAUGGCGACCGGCGCACGGGGUGAGUAACACGUAUCCAACCUGCCGAUAACUCCGGAAUAGCCUUUCGAAAGAAAGAUUAAUACCGGAUAGCAUACGAAUAUCGCAUGAUAUUUUUUAUUAAAGAAUUUCGGUUAUCGAUGGGGAUGCGUUCCAUUUAG